rnacentral:rRNA from 1 species
AUGGCUACGUUCGCGACGUCGUCUCCGGCGGUGAUGUGGUCGGCUCGCCCCGGGCGGCUGGCAGUGGCUCGGCGGUGCGUGGUGGCGCGUGCGUCCGCGACGAUGGCGGCACCGGCCGCGGUGGCCGCAGGGAGGACCCACUACGAGGUGCUCGGGCUGGGCGCCGGGGCCAGCAGGGGCGAGAUCAAGGCCGCGUACCGGCGCCUUGCCAGGGAAGUGCACCCUGACGCCGUCGGAGGUGGCGGUGACGAGGGGUUCAUCCGGCUGCACGCGGCCUACGCCACGCUCGCCGAUCCCGACGAGCGCGCUCGCUACGACCGGGACGUGACCUGCCGCGCCGCGGGGAUGAUGAUGCGGCGGGCGGCUGCGGCCGGGCCGGCGUUCCGGCGGAGGACGUGGGAGACUGACCAGUGCUGGUAG